CCUACGGGAGGCUGCAGUGAGGAAUAUUGGUCAAUGGCCGGAAGGCUGAACCAGCCAAGCCGCGUGAAGGACGAAGGUGCCAAGCAGGGUAAACUUCUUUUGUCAAGGGACAAAAUCAGGCGCGAGAGCCUGACCGAGGGGACUUGAAGAAAAAGCAUCGGCUAACUCCGUGCCAGCAGCCGCGGUAAGACGGAGGAUGCGAGCGUUCUCCGGAUUUAUUGGGUUGAAAGGGUGCGUAGGCGGACUGUUAAGUCAGCGGUAAAAGCCCGGGGCUCAACCCCGGCGAGCCGUUGAAACUGGCUGUCUUGAGCUGUCGAGUGGUAUGCGGAAUGCGCCGUGUAGCGGU
rnacentral:rRNA from 1 species